UUAUUUCGCACUCAUAAUUUGUUUGGGAAUAUGGUAAUACAGAAAAGAGAGUAUGCUUUGAAAUUAAAUCCUGUUUACUUUAAUAUAAUGUUUCAGUUUAGAAUGUUUGGUUGUUAGGCACCUUUAUUUUCAUUUGAUUUGGAACUCGAUCAUUUUGGACUCUUUGGUGACAACAACCCCAAGACUAGAUGUGCAACUGGUUUCUGCUUUCCAAGAUUAUCCAUAUUUCAGAAAUGAGCUUCAAUACCCGGCGAUUCAACCAGUCUGUACCACGGAUGGCACAGGGACAUCAGUAUCUUCCUGCAAGACCAUCAGACUAAAUCAACAAUGGUCAGGACCUCCCGAGUCUCUCAGAGGUCUACAAUUGUGAGUGGUACUGGAAGUCCCUACAAAUGGCCAGCUUCCGAUACCACAAUCAGCAGCUUCCUGAGCAGGGGAAACAACGUCUAUUCCACCAGCACAUGGAACUGAGGCGCAAAGUUGAGUUUUACAGGGGUGUGACGAAGGCCUACCAGCCCAGACUGAGCUCUGGCGAGGAGUGGCCGCUCUUUUCUGAUGAAGACAUUGAGAAACUGGAAGCCAUUCCUGGGGUGUUGGAGUUGGCUGCAGUGAUGGGCUUCCUGUGAAUCUCUGAGCCCUGAAUGAACUGUGCCCAAGUGUUGAAUUACUAUUUAUUUACUUUGUAUUAGUAGUAGUAUAUUAGUAGUAGUAGUAGGUUAAGAUAGAUACGUGUGUGUCACAUGGGUGACUAUGUAUCUGACUAGAAGCUGCCCUCUUACAUUGCAUUAUAUGCCCAGGCCAGAAUCGUAUUCACCUGGUACAUGUUUUACCGAGACAGAUAUAGAUGCGCACUCUUUUUCCCCCUUUUGAUCACGAGAGUAAGUAAUUAAAGCGUCACUAAAUUGGGACCGGUGAGUUGCUCAAACCUGUUCUUUAUUUAAGGUGCAGGACGUUGUGAGCUGUGUGGGACGAUGUGAGCUGUGAGCAGAGCAGUUACAGAGCCAGAACCGAGGCGACUGAUGACGACAUGCUGUAGCUGUAGAGGACCUGGACCAGAGGAGACAGAGAAAAGGCCUUUUGGGGAAUUGGGAGGGUGAACGUGUCACCCUUCCCAAAGCUAAGUACCUCUCCAUAUCCAACUCCAACAUAAUGCCUGAUAGCGCCGUAUGUGGACAUUCUCUACUGUGUUGUGUCAUACGCACUCAUUAAUGCCAAUGUAUCUGUGGCUUGAACCUGUAGCUGUGUGGACUCGACCGGAGGGCCAUACUAUGAGACAACGAGUCACUGCGAAUCAAAUUGACGGCUGCCGGCGAGCGGGAGGGACAGGAAAUUGGGCGGGAGAACACUUCACCCUUCCUCAAAGCUAAGUACCUCUCCAUAUCCCAUCUCCAACAGUUCUCCUGAUAGCGCAGCCUGUUGACAUUCUCUACUGAUUUGCGUGCUACGCACUCAUUAAUGUCAGUGUAUCUGUGGACUGAAUUUAUAGCUGCGUGGACCUGAGCCCCGCACACUACAGAUGGCCAUCGACGCAACAAACUACUGUAAACCAGAUUGAACCAGAGAGGAGGCCUUUUGGGGUACUGGGAGGGUGAAACACAUUCACAAUCCCUAAAUUAAGUAGCCUGCGCCUCUCCGAUUUCAGCCGCAGCCGUAGCCAUGGACAACCCUCGAAUUCCAUAUAGCCAUUGGAUUGCAAAACAUUGUGGAUUAAAGCUCAUUUUCUGGCUGAACCCUACCAGCUCACAUCUGAACUGUCCCCCCACUAGCUUUUGCUCCAAAGACUAUUGUGAAUAGACAUUGUCCUCUAAAGGAUACCCGAUAACGUUACCUGAACCACUAUCCCUUGCCUCUCCAUUUAUUUUGUAUUUGCAUUACCUUGUGUGAAUUUAGUUACUAUUUUCCAUUAUCAUUAGUUUUUGCUUUGAUAUUACUGUAUUCCUUUAUUUAGUAACUAUUUUGGUUUAUUGUGAAUUUGUUGAAUGGGUAUUGUGGAGUUGUGUAUUUGGUCUACGGCACCUUAGUGCAACAGUGUCCUUUGCUGACAGAAUCUUUGUCUUUCACUCAGUACAACACCACCCAGGAGAGGCCUGCUGCAAUUGCUACUAAAUUGGAGCCCUCAACGUGUGCCUGCCGUUGGGGGACCACAGAACAUUCAAAAAAUAUUUUUAAAACAGAAAUUUUAACUUUUUCAUCUCUUUGGACAUGUCCAUUUGGGACAUUUAGAUAUAGUUCAAAUAAAGAUGUGUGUUUGAAUGAUA